GGGUUUAAGGGUCCGUAGGCGGGCCGAUAAGUCAGGGGUGAAAGUUUGCAGCUCAACUGUAAAAUUGCCUUUGAUACUGUUGGUCUUGAGUUAUAGUGAAGUUGCCGGAAUAUGUAGUGUAGCGGUGAAAUGCAUAGAUAUUACAUAGAACACCGAUUGCGAAGGCAGGUGACUAACUAUAUACUGACGCUGAUGGACGAAAGCGUGGGGAGCGAACAGGAUUAGAUACCCUGGUAGUCCACGCCGUAAACGAUGGAUACUAGCUGUCCGGGGCCUUGAGUCCUGGGCGGCCAAGCGAAAGUGAUAAGUAUCCCACCUGGGGAGUACGUUCGCAAGAAUGAAACUCAAAGGAAUUGACGGGGGCCCGCACAAGCGGUGGAGCAUGUGGUUUAAUUCGAUGAUACGCGAGGAACCUUACCAGGGCUUAAAUGCAUAUUGACAGGUCUAGAGAUAGAUUUUCCUUCGGGCAAUUUGCAAGGUGCUGCAUGGUUGUCGUCAGCUCGUGCCGUGAGGUGUCAGGUUAAGUCCUAUAACGAGCGCAACCCCUACCGUUAGUUGCCAGCAUGUCAUGAUGGGGACUCUAACGGGACUGCCGGUGCAAACCGUGAGGAAGGUGGGGAUGACGUCAAAUCAUCACGGCCCUUACGUCCUGGGCCACACACGUGCUACAAUGGCAGGUACAGAGAGCAGCCAUGUCGCAAGGCAGAGCGAAUCUACAAAACCUGUCACAGUUCGGAUCGGGGUCUGCAACUCGACCCCGUGAAGCUGGAAUCGCUAGUAAUCGGAUAUCAGCCAUGAUCCGGUGAAUACGUUCCCGGGCCUUGUACACACCGCCCGUCAAGCCAUGGAAGCCGGGAGUGCCUGAAGUCCGUCACCGUAAGGAGCGGCCUAGGGCAAGA
rnacentral:rRNA from 1 species